rnacentral:rRNA from 1 species
GUCUACAGCCAUACCAUCCUGAGCACGUCCGAUCUCGUCUGAGCUCAGAAGCUAAGCAGGGUCAGACCUGGUUAGUACUUGGAUGGGAGACCACCAAGUAUUGGAUGGGAAUACCAGGUGCUAUAGGCU